rnacentral:lncRNA from 1 species
UGACACUCUUCUCUAGCUUUGUUCUGACUGUUAUUUUGCUGGAAAAUGAAGAAAUGAGCUUCAUUUGAAUUCCUUAUUCCCUUGGAAAUUGCUAUUUCUGGUGAAAUUUGGUGUUUAUAAAUGGGGGACUGUUAGGGGAAGCAGGCAGUUCCAUUCUCAUAAUCAGUAUGCCACCAACCUUGUAAGAAGUCUGAUUUUGGAAAGUCAGGUUGGCUUGAAGCAUAGCUUAAUUAUGAUAACUAAUUUUGGUUCUUCUGAGCUGUUGUCUGUUGGUUGUGAAUGAAUGGAAAUUUGUGGUUUGGGUUCCGUGGACUGUGGGAUGGAUUCUUUUUGUUGUUCGUUGUGGUUCCUGGUCUCCAUUUGACAAACUUCUCCUUUUACUUCCUUUUGAAAGUUCCAUCCUUUGGAUUUUUCUUGUACAUGGGUUCAGUCAUUCUGUCAGCGUGCAUUCUUGCUGUAUGGUAAAGUGCUGAAAGUAAGCUCUUUUUGAUGUUCUUGGUGUGCAUACUGAAGAGAUUGAAUGACUAGAACCUGAUUUGCCUUCAGAUUGAAUAGGCGACCAAGGGAUAAGCUUUGUUUUGAUAUAGCUGUUUGUUUCUGUCAAUUUUCCAAAUCCAGGAAUCUGAAGGAGCUGGACUUGCAAGAGAAUGACGUUGAAGAUCACAGAGGGCAUUGGCUUAGCUGCUUCCCUGACAGCAGUACCUCUCUUGUUUCCCUCAAUUUUGCAUGCCUCAAAGGAGAUAUUAAUUUAGCAGCCCUGGAGAGGCUUGUAGCAAGAUCCCCCAACCUGAGGAGCUUGAGGCUAAGUCGUGCCGUGCCACUUGAUGUGCUUCAGAGGAUACUGAUCCGUGCUCCCCAGUUGGUGGAGUUGGGUGUGGGUUCUUAUCUUCACGAUCCAGAGUCCGAGUGUUAUGAUAAUCUUGCGGCUGCCAUUCAGAAGUGCAAGUCUGUUAGGAGUCUAUCUGGAUUCUUGGAUGUUGCUCCCCAUUGCCUAGCAGCUUUCCAUGUCAUCUGCCCGAACUUAACCACCUUGAACUUGAGUUAUGCCCCAGGAAUUCAUGGCAGUGAGCUUAUGAAGCUAAUUCGUCACUGUAGGAAACUUCAGCGAUUAUGGGUAAAGCAAGCGUCUUUUGAUUUUCGUUUGAGUCAUUCUUGGUUUGGUUAUCAUAGUGUUGCUUACUUGAUAAAAUCUCAUCGAAUUUCUUGCAUCUGCUGCAGAUACUGGAUUGCAUUGGUGAUAAAGGACUCGAGGUUGUAGCUGAUACUUGUAAAGAUUUGGAGGAGUUGAGGGUCUUUCCUUCUGAUCCCUUUGUUGGACAAGCGACUGUAACAGAAGAAGGCCUUGUUGCCAUCUCAAGAGGUUGCCGGAAGCUUAAUUCAAUACUCUACUUCUGUCAGCAGAUGACAAAUGCUGCACUGAUAACAGUUGCAAAAAACUGUCCGUAUUUCAUAAGGUUCAGGCUGUGCAUUCUGGAUCCCACAAAACCAGAUGCUGCUACCCAGCAGCCACUGGAUGAAGGUUUUGGGGCGAUCGUUCGAGAAUGCAAGGAUCUGAAGCGCUUGUCACUUUCCGGCCUUCUGACCGACCAAGUUUUCCAGUACAUUGGGAUGUACGCUUCUCAGCUGGAGAUGCUGUCGAUAGCGUUUGCAGGGGACAGUGACAAAGGGAUGCAGUAUGUGCUGGACGGGUGCAAGAAGCUGAGGAAGCUCGAGAUAAGGGACAGCCCGUUCGGGAAUGCAGCACUUCUCAUGGAUGUGGGGAAGUACGAGACAAUGCGAUCCCUUUGGAUGUCGGCCUGUGAUGUCACGCUUGGAGGCUGCAAAGUUUUAGCCAAGAGGAUGCCGGGGCUGAACGUGGAGAUCAUGAACGAGAAUGAUCAGAUGGAGUUUGGGGACGAUGAUCGGCAGAAGGUGGACAAGAUGUACCUGUAUCGAACGCUGGCCGGACAAAGGAGAGAUGCACCUGGAUUCGUCUGGACACUGUAAGGUAAAAGAAGAGGUAGGCAAUAAGUAAGCAAGCAUUAUAAGAAAGGAAGAGGUUGAAUGCAAAAGCUUGUUGGUAGCUGCAUCUCUUGCCUAUCACAGCCUGUGUUGUGCCCUAAGAAAUAUUGUUGAAUUAGUUUGUACUUUGUGUAGGCCAACUGAUCACUGUAAUGGAUAUUAUUACUUGGUGGGUGUUAUUUGUUGCACUUUGAGUUUUAGUUUUGUAAGAGAUUUGAAUAUGGGUUGGGGUGUUUCUACUCCCCUUUUUAUUUGGCAUAUUCAUAUCUUAAAGAGUACUCUCCUACUUGGGAUUUGGGGCUGCUUAUUGCUAUGAUAUAUAUGUCUUUGCAAUUGUUACCAUUUCCAGCCAGCAUCAGGUGCUCACUGAGAAAUGUGUUAUCUGGGUUCCAUGUUUCUGAAUUUUCCAGUUUGCAAUGGAACAACACCCAAGACCUCGACUUUGAAACUUGGUUUGUUUGGAAACAACAAAAUAUUUGUGAACUACUCGACCAGAUAUUUGUUACACAUUCAAUCAUUAGAGUUAGUUUGUUUCUUCCUCCAUCGCUACUCAUUACUCAAUCGUUGGUUACUCAUCGACUAUAUAUUAUGCUAUCUCAAAGGUACACCUCCUCAUGGUUUACAUUUUCCAGGCGCUUCUCUAAAAAAUGUACUUUAUCUCAAUUUAAUUGGGCAGGAUAUCCUGAUUCUCGAUGCUUUAUCACAUGAUUUUGUAUUUUCCUUACAUGUUGUUUUCCUUCUUUAGAAAUCAAAGAAACAACCUACUGUUUCUCGCUUUUUUGCGGAAAUCGAAUACCAUACUCUGGCAUAUAUCUAUGUACUUUCACUGAACUUCAAUGACUAUACGAACUUCUAAAACUUUUACUAUAAACUUCUCUCGGGCUUUCUCAUUUCAUCGUGAUAAUAAAAGAUGAAAAAUAAUCCUUUUCAAUAUGAAAAAAACAAAACAUAUAAAGUUAGAUUGUCAUUUUAUUCAUGAUCAUAUCUUACUCAAAGUCAAAUCAUAUUUCUACUCACAAUCAACUCGUCGAUCCCUUCGCAAAGCCAUUACCAGUCCAUGUUUUUCAGUCUCUUAUUUCCAAAUUACACUUGGAAUCUAUCCUUGCUUAGUUUGUGAUGAUAAGGUUGUUACUAGUUUGUAAGAAAUAGUUAGUUAGGCUGUUAGUAUGGUUAAUUACAGUAUGUUCAGUGACCUUCUCUAUAUAUACUUACAAGCAUGGGUUGUAAAUCCCACUUUUCCAAAUCAGCAAUAACAGAUUCAUUUCCCCUUUUCUCUCUGAUCCAAUCCAUCGCCUUUCUCCCGAUCCAUCUACUUCCCAACACAGACCAAUAGCAUCCAUCCUUCUCAGAUCCGUAGCUCCAAUUUCUGCUCUAAAAGCUCCAAUCAUUCCUCCAGAUCUGGGUCGUCCAGCUUGACUGCGUUGAAUCGAUGCCUGCCUGAUUUUUCGCGGGGUUUGAGGAUGAACCACUUCCCCGAUGAGGUUUUGGAGCACAUCUUCAAAUUCGUGGCGACUCACCAGGACAGGAACUCGGUUUCCCAGGUCUGUAAAUUGUGGCACAGGAUCGAGAGUUACAGUAGGCAGAAAGUGUUCAUAGGGAACUGCUAUGCGAUUAGUCCGGAGAGGGUGGUUGGGAGGUUCCCUGGUCUGAAAUCCAUUACUUUGAAGGGGAAGCCUCAUUUCGCUGACUUCAAUCUGGUUCCUCCUGACUGGGGAGGCUUUGUUUACCCAUGGAUCGAGGCCUUUGCAAGGAACCGGGUCGGGUUGGAGGAGCUCCGGCUGAAGAGGAUGGUUGUUUCUGAUGAAAGCUUGAAGUUGCUGUCGACUUCUUUCCCUAAUUUCAAGUCUUUGGUUCUGGUGAGCUGUGAAGGCUUCACUACUGAUGGCCUUGUUGCUGUUGCUGCUAAUUGUAGGUAAGAAUUUCUGGCUCCUCUCUUAGCUUUGUUCAACUGUUGUUUUGCUGAAAACGAAGAAAUGAGCUUCUGGUGAGACUUGGUGAAUAUAAAUGGGGUGGCUGUUAGGGCAAGUAGGCAGUAAGGAUGAUUUUGGGAAGUAAGGCUAGCUUGAAACAUAGCUUACUUUUGGUACUAUUUUUGUUUCUUCUGAGCUGUUGUAUGUUGGUUGUGAUUUGUGAAUGAAUGAAAAUGUGUGGUUUGGGUUCCCUGGCCUGUGGGAUGGAUCUUUUCUUUAUGUCCUCUGCACUGACCAUGUUCAUCGUGGUUCCUGGUCUCCAUUUGACAAACUUCCCUUUUUAAUUACUUUUCAUUUUCAAAGUUCCCAUCCAUCGCAUUUUUUCUUGUUCACGGGUUUAGUGAUCCUGUCGGCGUUUGAUUGCGGCAACCUGAUAUUGUUGAGUGGUAAAAAUGAGCUCCUUUUGAUGUUCUUGGUGAGAAAUUGAACGAGUAGAACCUGAUUUGCCUUUUGAUGUUGGUGGGUGUUCACCGAUGGAAGUUCUUUCUUCCAAGUGCUUGGCUGUCCAUGUUUCGUUAUAAGUUGCUUGCCUUCGAGGGUUUGAUUGUAAAGCUAAUAUCAGCUAGUUUAUAUUUCUUUCAUUUCUAUAGCAUGUUCUUGCUUGUACUUUGCUGGUUUUUUCUCUUAGUAGUGGCUACAUUUUGGGUAAGGCAAUGCUAGGAGACCAUCCAAAAGGGAUAUCAGCACCUUCCUUAGUUAGUUCACUACUUCACAAAGUCUCUAUAGGUUCUUUUCCUCUAUGUGUUGGACCUAAUAAUAAACCGUUGUUCAUCAAUACAAAACACAGCGACCGAGGGAUAAGCUCUGUUUUGAUAGAGCUCUUUGUUUUUAUAAAUUUUCCCAACCCAGGCAUUUGAAGGAGCUGGACUUGCAAGAGAAUGACGUUGAAGAUCACAGAGGGCAUUGGCUUAGCUGCUUCCCUGACAGCAGUACCUCUCUUGUUUCACUUAAUUUUGCAUGCCUCAAAGGAGAUAUUGAUUUAGAAGCCCUGGAGAGUCUUGUAGCGAGAUCGCCCAACCUGAGGAGCUUGAGGCUAAGUCGCGCCGUGCCAUUUGAUGUGCUUCAGAGGAUAUUGAUCCUUGCUCCCCAGUUGGUGGAUUUGGGUGUAGGUUCUUAUCUUCAUGAUCCAGAGUCUGAGAAUUAUGAUAAAUUUGCGGCUGCCAUUCA